rnacentral:rRNA from 1 species
CAAAGGUAGCAUAAUCAUUAGGAGUUUAAUUGGAGCCUGGAAUGAAUGGUUGGACAAAGGAAAAACUGUCUUUAUGAUAUAAGUCAAAGUUUACUUUUAAGUGAAAAGGCUUAAAUGUGUCAGAGGGACGAUAAGACCCUAUAAAGCUUUAUAAAUAAUUUAAGUCUAAUUAACUUAAGAAAAUAAAGAUUAGAUUUAAUUGUUUUAUUUUAUUGGGGUGAUAUGAGUAUAAAUAAUAUAACUGCUUAUAGUGAACACAAAGAUAUAAGGAUAAUUAAAGUUAUGAUCCUUUUUAGAGAUUAAAAGACUAAGUUACUUUAGGGAUAACAGCGUUAUUCUUUUUGAGAGUUCUUAUCGAAAAAGGAGAUUGCGACCUCGAUGUUGAAUUAAAAUAUCUAUAUAAUGUAGCCGUUAUAUAAGAGGGUCUGUUCGACCUUUAAAUUUUUACAUGAUUUGAGUUCAAACCGGA